rnacentral:lncRNA from 1 species
GUGCAAUGGGAAGCUGGAUAGCUAAGGUUUACCUAACAAUAAAUCAAGGAUGUGCUUCGGCUUAGUUUUUUUUUUUUUAAUAAGGUCCAAAGUUGGGGUUGGACACCAAUAAAUUCGGGUGUGCUUCGGCUUUUUUUCUUUUUAAAUUAAGUCCAAAGUUGGGGUCGGACACCUUACCCCUCCCUUACGGAAAUGUUAAUAAAAAAUGUUCUACUGCAAUACUUUUUUCGACACUUGGUGCAAUGGGAAGCUGAAUAGCUAAGGUUUACUUGACACUAAAUUCAGGGUGUGCUUCGGCUUAGUUUUUUUUUAUUUAGGUCCAAAGUUGGGGUCGGACACCCUACCCUUCCCUACGGAAUGUUAAUAAAAAAUGUUCUAUGGCA